rnacentral:tRNA from 1 species
AAGUUAUAAACUUAUUAUAAGCUUAUGAUUUGAAAUCAUAAUAAAAGGAUUUUACCCCUUUAUAACUUA